rnacentral:rRNA from 1 species
AACGAACGCUGGCGGCAUGCCUAACACAUGCAAGUCGAACGCCCCGCAAGGGGAGUGGCGAACGGGUGAGUAACGCGUGGGAACCUACCCAGCAGUUGGGGAUAACCGCGGGAAACUGCGGCUAAUACCGAAUACGUCCUUAGGGAGAAAGAUUUAUCGCUGUUGGAGGGGCCCGCGUCGGAUUAGCUAGUUGGUGAGGUAACGGCUCACCAAGGCGACGAUCCGUAGCUGGUCUGAGAGGAUGAUCAGCCACACUGGGACUUAGACACGGCCCAGACUCCUACGGGAGGCAGCAGUGGGGAAUAUUGGACAAUGGGGGCAACCCUGAUCCAGCAAUGCCGCGUGAGUGAUGAAGGCCUUAGGGUUGUAAAGCUCUUUUACCGGGGACGAUGGUGACGGUACCCGGAGAAUAAGCCCCGGCUAACUUCGUGCCAGCCGCCGCGGUAA